rnacentral:rRNA from 1 species
AUUGAACGCUGGCGGCAGGCCUAACACAUGCAAGUCGAGCGGAUGAAGGGAGCUUGCUCCUGGAUUCAGCGGCGGACGGGUGAGUAAUGCCUAGGAAUCUGCCUGGUAGUGGGGGAUAACGUCCGGAAACGGGCGCUAAUACCGCAUACGUCCUGAGGGAGAAAGUGGGGGAUCUUCGGACCUCACGCUAUCAGAUGAGCCUAGGUCGGAUUAGCUAGUUGGUGGGGUAAAGGCCUACCAAGGCGACGAUCCGUAACUGGUCUGAGAGGAUGAUCAGUCACACUGGAACUGAGACACGGUCCAGACUCCUACGGGAGGCAGCAGUGGGGAAUAUUGGACAAUGGGCGAAAGCCUGAUCCAGCCAUGCCGCGUGUGUGAAGAAGGUCUUCGGAUUUUAAAGCACUUUUAGUUGGGAGGAAGGGCAGUAAGUUAAUACCUUGCUGUUUUGACGUUACCAACAGAAUAAGCACCGGCUAACUUCGUG